AACGCUGGCAAUGGGGAGAUAAAGAGAAAACAAACCAGCUCUCCAUGAAGCUAUGUAUCCCUCAAUAAACAAGACAGAAGAAUGACUGGCAGCACCAUUUUACAUUUCCAUCAGCAAAGUAAGCAUGAAGUUUCCUGUUGUUCCACGUCUUCACAAGCACUUGGGACUGUCAGCAUUUUGUAUUUUAACCAUUCCAAUAACCUUCCUUCCACCACUUCACCAUGACUCGUGAGCUGCAACCUUUCUGAUGUUCACUUUCACAAGCAAACUUCAAGUCUUUUGCAAG